GUACUUGCUUUGGCAGCACAUAUGCUAAAAUUGAAAUAAUACAGAGAUUAGCAUGGCCCCUGCAUAAGAAUGACAUGCAAAUUCAUGAAGUAUUCCAUGUUUUG